rnacentral:rRNA from 1 species
UCGAACGAUGAAGCCCUUCGGGGUGGAUUAGUGGCGAACGGGUGAGUAACACGUGGGCAAUCUGCCCUUCACUCUGGGACAAGCCCUGGAAACGGGGUCUAAUACCGGAUACGACUGCGGAAGGCAUCUUCCGUGGUGGAAAGCUCCGGCGGUGAAGGAUGAGCCCGCGGCCUAUCAGCUUGUUGGUGGGGUAAUGGCCUACCAAGGCGACGACGGGUAGCCGGCCUGAGAGGGCGACCGGCCACACUGGGACUGAGACACGGCCCAGACUCCUACGGGAGGCAGCAGUGGGGAAUAUUGCACAAUGGGCGAAAGCCUGAUGCAGCGACGCCGCGUGAGGGAUGACGGCCUUCGGGUUGUAAACCUCUUUCAGCAGGGAAGAAGCGAAAGUGACGGUACCUGCAGAAGAAGCGCCGGCUAACUACGUGCCAGCAGCCGCGGUAAUACGUAGGGCGCAAGCGUUGUCCGGAAUUAUUGGGCGUAAAGAGCUCGUAGGCGGCUUGUCACGUCGGAUGUGAAAGCCCGAGGCUUAACCUCGGGUCUGCAUUCGAUACGGGCUAGCUAGAGUGUGGUAGGGGAGAUCGGAAUUCCUGGUGUAGCGGUGAAAUGCGCAGAUAUCAGGAGGAACACCGGUGGCGAAGGCGGAUCUCUGGGCCAUUACUGACGCUGAGGAGCGAAAGCGUGGGGAGCGAACAGGAUU